UCGUCAGCUCAUUUUGUAUAUGUAUGAGUUAUGAUGUGAGUUACUCNUUGUAGUAUUGCUCGCACGUACUUAUGCAUUUAUUUGCAAGGUGUUGUCGGCGUGCACUUCUCCCCUAGUAGGACGUCGCGACCCGUUGGGUAUCGGUCUACGACCCGAGUNGGUAGACUUNUAAUGUUUUNAUAAUAUUAAAGACCCUUGGUGUUUUCUGACCGGCUGCCCGGCGGUAUUCGUACGGUAUUUAGCCGCAUUUANUNUUGCGUCCAUGUCCAUCGCAAGCGCGGCCAAUUU
rnacentral:rRNA from 1 species